rnacentral:rRNA from 1 species
CCCUUAGAUGUCCUGGGCCGCACGCGCGCUACACUGAUGCAUUCAACGAGUUUUACCUUGGCCGAGAGGCCUGGGCAAUCUUUUGAACCUGCAUCGUGAUAGGGAUAGAUUAUUGCAAUUAUUAAUCUUGAACGAGGAAUUCCUAGUAAACGCAGAUCAUCAAUCUGCAUUGAUUACGUCCCUGCCCUUUGUACACACCGCCCGCCGCACCUACCGAUUGAAUGGUCCGGUGAAGCCUCGGGAUUGUGGCGAGUUCCCUUUAUUGGGAGUUUGUCGCGAGAACUUGUCUAAACCUUAUCAUUUAGAGGAAGGUGAAGUCGUAACA